CUACUACUCCCUCCGUCCCGAAUUACUUGUCGCAGAAAUGGAUGUAUCUAGAACUAAAAAAUGUCUAGAUACAUCCAUUUCUAUGACAAGUAAUUCUGAACGGAGGGAGUAGUAA
rnacentral:pre_miRNA from 1 species